rfam:Triticum aestivum genome assembly, contig: Triticum_aestivum_CS42_TGACv1_scaffold_570025_7AS
AAAUUACUCCCUCCAUCCGAAAUUACUUAUCGCGAAAAUGAAUGUAUCUAGAACUAAUAUAUGUCUAGAUACAUCCAUUUUCCCGACAAGUAUUUUUGAACGGAGGGAGUAUUAG